AAAAGUUUAGGUUAACUUAAACCAAAGGCCUUCAAAGCCUAAAAUAGGGAACCCCCCUAACCUCUG
rnacentral:tRNA from 1 species